rnacentral:rRNA from 1 species
GAUGAACGCUGGCGGCGUGCCUAAUACAUGCAAGUCGAGCGAACGGACGAGAAGCUUGCUUUUCUGAUGUUAGCGGCGCACGGGUGAGUAACACGUGGAUAACCUACCUAUAAGACUGGGAUAACUUCGGGAAACCGGAGCUAAUACCGGAGAAUAUUUUGAACCGCAUGGUUCAAAAGUGAAAGACGGUCUUGCUGUCACUUAUAGAUGGAUCCGCGCUGCAUUAGCUAGUUGGUAAGGUAACGGCUUACCAAGGCAACGAUGCAUAGCCGACCUGAGAGGGUGAUCGGCCACACUGGAACUGAGACACGGUCCAGACUCCUACGGGAGGCAGCAGUAGGGAAUCUUCCGCAAUGGGCGAAAGCCUGACGGAGCAACGCCGCGUGAGUGAUGAAGGUCUUCGGAUCGUAAAACUCUGUUAUUAGGGAAGAACAUAUGUGUAAGUAACUGUGCACAUCUUGACGGUACCUAAUCAGAAAGCCACGGCUAACUACGUG